rnacentral:RNase_P_RNA from 1 species
ACAGUAGGUAAGUUUGUCGCUGGCAUAUUGUCAGAGGAAAGUCCGGGCAACGCAGAGCACCAUACUUCCUAACAGAAAGUUAUCCGUGAGGGUAAGUCACCGUAACAGAAAAUAACCGCCUUCGGGUAAGGGUGAAAAUGUGGGGUAAGAGCCCACGCUCAGUUAUGGUAACAUAAUUGGGGUACGGCCUAUGGGUUGCAAGAUCAUGUAUAUCGACGAUAACAGGGUUGCUCGCCCGAUGUCGAGGGGUAGAUUGCUAGAGGCUGGUGGUGACGCCAGUCGUAGAUUAAUGACAAACAUCUGGUUAACCAGAAACAGAACCCGGCUUAAUACCUACUGUAUUU